GAUGAAGAACGUAGCGAAAUGCGAUAAGUAAUGUGAAUUGCAGAAUUCAGUGAAUCAUCGAAUCUUUGAACGCACCUUGCGCUCUUUGGCCAUUCCAAGGAGCAUGCCUGUUUGAGUGUCAUUGAAUCCUCAAGGCCCCCUUUUCCUGCCCUUCCUUUUCAAGCUUGGGCUUUAGGGGACUUGGACUUUGGGAGUGCUGCGGUGCCAGGCUUUACUCCGGCUCCGCUCUCCUCAAAUGCAUCAGUAGGGCCCCCUCAUCCCUUUCGGGUCUUUGCGGCGUUGAUAGUUGUCCACGCCUCUGCCCGUUGGGUCUCACCCUGCUCCCUCAACAACCCCCCCCACGUUUUUCUUUAAACGCUCUUGACCUCAAAUCAGGUAGGACUACCCGCUGAACUUAAGCAUAUCAAUAAGCGGAGGA
rnacentral:misc_RNA from 1 species